rnacentral:rRNA from 1 species
CGUAGAGUUUGAUCCUGGCUCAGGAUGAACGCUAGCGGCAGGCUUAACACAUGCAAGUCGAGGGGCAGCGAGAUCAGUGCUUGCACUGAUUGUCGGCGACGGCGCACGGGUGCGUAACGCGUAUGCAACUACCCAUUACAGGGGGAUAACACUGAGAAAUCGGUACUAAUACCCCAUAACAUCCAGGGAGGCAUCUUCUUGGGUUGAAAACUCCGGUGGUAAUGGAUGGGCAUGCGUUGUAUUAGUUAGUUGGUGGGGUAACGGCUCACCAAGACAACGAUACAUAGGGGGACUGAGAGGUUAACCCCCACAUUGGUACUGAGACACGGACCAAACUCCUACGGGAGGCAGCAGUGAGGAAUAUUGGUCAAUGGACGCAAGUCUGAACCAGCCAUGCCGCGUGCAGGAAGACGGCCCUAUGAGUUGUAAACUGCUUUUGUACGAGGGUAAACUCGGAUACGUGUAUCCGUUUGAAAGUAUCGUACGAAUAAGGAUCGGCUAACUCCGUG